GUGGCGCACGGGUGAGUAACACGUAAGUAAUCUGCCUUCGAGUGGGGAAUAACCCGGGGAAACCCGAGCUAAUACCGCAUAACGCAGCGGCACCUAAUGGUGACAGUUGUUAAAGGAGCAAUCCGCUUGAAGAGGAGCUUGCGGCAGAUUAGCUUGUUGGUAAGGUAACGGCUUACCAAGGCUACGAUCUGUAUCCGGUCUAAGAGGACGGUCGGACACACUGACACUGAAUAACGGGUCAGACUCCUACGGGAGGCAGCAGUCGGGAAUUUUGGGCAAUGGGGGAAACCCUGACCCAGCAACGCCGCGUGAAGGAUGAAGUAUUUCGGUAUGUAAACUUCGAAAGAAUGGGAAGAAUUAAUGACGGUACCAUUUAUAAGCUCCGGCUAACUACGUGCCAGCAGCCGCGGUAAUACGUAGGGAGCAAGCGUUGUUCGGAUUUACUGGGCGUAAAGGGCGCGUAGGCGGCGCGGUAAGUCACUUGUGAAAUCUCUGAGCUUAACUCAGAACGGCCAAGUGAUACUGCAGUGCUAGAGUGUGGAAGGGGCAAUCGGAAUUCUUGGUGUAGCGGUGAAAUGCGUAGAUAUCAAGAGGAACACCUGAGGUGAAGACGGGUUGCUGGGCCAACACUGACGCUGAUGCGCGAAAGCCAGGGGAGCAAACGGGAUUAGAUACCCCGGUAGUCCUGGCCCUAAACGAUGAAUACUUGGUGUCUGGAGUUUUAAUGCUCCGGGUGCCGUCGC
rnacentral:rRNA from 1 species